rnacentral:rRNA from 1 species
UAUGUAGUAGAUGAUAAAGACUGUGAUGACAUGAUAGAUGCAUUUAAAGUAGAUACCAUUAUUCCUGACCCAUAUGAUGAUGUCUACAACAAUAUACAUGUAAGUACUCACAUGCUAGCACCUAAACCUGAUUGCAAGCAUUGUGGUGCAAAGAGGUUCCAGUAUGAGACAAAUGGAUUUUGUUGCUGGUCUGGAAAAGUUAAGUUAGCACACUUAGAACCACCCUUGGAACUUAAAAUGUUGUACACAAGUUCAGAUCCCAAUGCCUUGCAUUUUAGGGAUAACAUUCGAUACUUCAAAGGACACUUUUCAUUCACCACCCUUGGAGUCAGUCUGGACAACAGAUACACAAACAUGAAGUCAGGAGUCUAUACAUUUCGAGCUCACGGUCAAAUUUACAACAACAUCUUCUCAUUUGGUCCAACUCAAGAUGGGCCAAAGCAUUUGGAACUCUACUUCUAUGAUGAUGAUCCUGGUUUACAACAUAGGUUUCGGCGCUCCCCGAACCUAGACCGAGAUGUCAUUCGAAAGCUUGUUGAUAUCCUCAAGGAUAAUCCUUAUUCUGAAACAUUCAGGAAUCUAGGUGGAGUUGAUGACCUUGAGGAAUACCGUAUUGCACUGAACACCGACAUGAGGUUAGAUCAACGGGGGUACAAUGUGCCUAUAUCAUCAGAGGUUGUAGCUAUUUGGGUUGAGGGUAGUGAACUCUAUAAGCACUUUGAUCGUAGCAUAGUAUUGUUCGGUAACAACAACAAGAGAUAUAGCAUCCAACCAUAUUAUGGAUGUUAUGAUCUGUUGUCUUACUCUUUAUUCUUCCCAAGAGGGGAGAUUGGUUGGCAUCCUGGCAUCCCAAAGAAUGGUGUUGGCUUGAAUGAGAUACUUUAG